rnacentral:rRNA from 1 species
UUGAACGCUGGCGGAAUGCUUUACACAUGCAAGUCGAGCGGCAGCGCGGGGCAACCUGGCGGCGAGCGGCGAACGGGUGAGUAAUGCAUCGGAACAUGUCCAUGUCGUGGGGGAUAGCCCGGCGAAAGCCGGAUUAAUACCGCAUACGCCCGAGAGGGGAAAGUGGGGGACCGCAAGGCCUCACGCGAUUGGGUUGGCCGAUGUCCGAUUAGCUAGUUGGCGGGGUAAUGGCCCACCAAGGCGAUGAUCGGUAGCUGGUCUGAGAGGAUGAUCAGCCACACUGGGACUGAGACACGGCCCAGACUCCUACGGGAGGCAGCAGUGGGGAAUUUUGGACAAUGGGGGCAACCCUGAUCCAGCCAUUCCGCGUGAGUGAAGAAGGCCUUCGGGUUGUAAAGCUCUUUUGUCCGGAACGAAACGGUUAGCGUGAAUAUCGCUGACUACUGACGGUACCGGAAGAAUAAGCACCGGCUAACUACGU